GAAUUUAAUAUUUUGUUAAUUGGAUGAUUAAUUAUAUAUAAAUUAAUAGAAUAUUUUAUUGGGAGGAUAGUUAAAUUUAAUGAACUUAAAUAAUAAAAUUACAUUGAUUAGUGAGUUUUGAAUUAUGUAUUAGUAAAAUAAAAUUAAUUACCUUAGGGAUAACAGCGUAAUAUUUUUAGUGAGAUCAUAUUUAUAAAAGUGUUUGC
rnacentral:rRNA from 2 species